rnacentral:rRNA from 1 species
UAGGGAAUCUUCCACAAUGGACGAAAGUCUGAUGGAGCAACGCCGCGUGAGUGAAGAAGGGUUUCGGCUCGUAAAACUCUGUUGUUAGAGAAGAACAGCCGUGAGAGCAACUGCUCACGGUAUGACGGUAUCUAACCAGAAAGUCACGGCUAACUACGUGCCAGCAGCCGCGGUAAUACGUAGGUGGCAAACGUUGUCCGGAUUUAUUGGGCGUAAAGGGAGCGCAGGCGGUUUAUUAAGUCUGAUGUGAAAGCCUUCGGCUUAACCGGAGAAGUGCAUCGGAAACUGAUAAACUUGAGUGCAGAAAAGGAUAGUGGAACUUCAUGUGUAGCGGUGAAAUGCGUAGAUAUAUGAAGGAACACCAGUGGCGAAGGCGGCUAUCUGGUCUGUAACUGACGCUGAGGCUCGAAAGCAUGGGUAGCAAACA